UGGUAUGAGGCUGAACAGGCUGGGACGUCAGUCAUUCAUGGAUCACCAGGGUUGAUUCAGCUGAUCUGGCUGCCGGGCCAGGGUCGCCUUCCUCCUUUACCUCUAUCUGUCCCUCCCGUAGCUGUGUUCUCUCUCUAGAUCUAAGAUCACAGAAAUAGAGGAGGACUGUUACCAGUCAAGAGUACAGGAGUAGCUGCGCUCCCCUGCUAGAACCUGAAAACAAGCUCUCAAUAUAAGCGCUUAUUAGUAUCAUCAGAAUAACUGAACAAUAUUUCCAUUUUAACAUAAUUUACUUGGACAGCCCAUUUUU
ensembl:misc_RNA 7SK 7SK RNA